rnacentral:rRNA from 1 species
GACGAACGCUGGCGGCGUGCUUAACACAUGCAAGUCGAACGGUGAACCCCUUCGGGGGGGAUCAGUGGCGAACGGGUGAGUAACACGUGAGCAACCUGCCCCUGACUCUGGGAUAACCCCGGGAAACCGGAGCUAAUACCGGAUACGACACGCUCGGGCAUCCGAUGCGUGUGGAAAGAUUUAUCGGUUGGGGAUGGGCUCGCGGCCUAUCAGCUUGUUGGUGGGGUAAUGGCCUACCAAGGCGACGACGGGUAGCCGGCCUGAGAGGGCGACCGGCCACACUGGGACUGAGACACGGCCCAGACUCCUACGGGAGGCAGCAGUGGGGAAUAUUGCGCAAUGGGCGAAGCCUGACGCAGCGACGCCGCGUGAGGGAUGAAGGCCUU